UACGUAGGGUGCGAGCGUUAAUCGGAAUUACUGGGCGUAAAGCGUGCGCAGGCGGUUCGUUGUGUCGGCGGUGAAAUCCCCGGGCUCAACCUGGGAAUGGCCGUUGAAACUGGCGAACUGGAGUGUGGCAGAGGGGGGUGGAAUUCCGCGUGUAGCAGUGAAAUGCGUAGAGAUGCGGAGGAACACCGAUGGCGAAGGCAGCCCCCUGGGCUGACACUGACGCUCAGGCACGAAAGCUCGGGGAGCGAACGGG
rnacentral:rRNA from 1 species